rfam:Schistosoma rodhaini strain Burundi genome assembly, scaffold: SROB_scaffold0001622
AUCCAGCUGACGAGUCCCAAAUAGGACUAAACGCGCUUCUUGUAU